rnacentral:rRNA from 1 species
UACGUAGGGUGCGAGCGUUAAUCGGAAUUACUGGGCGUAAAGCGUGCGCAGGCGGUUUGUUAAGUCUGAUGUGAAAGCCCCGGGCUCAACCUGGGAAUGGCAUUGGAAACUGGCUGGCUAGAGUGUGGCAGAGGGGGGUGGAAUUCCGCGUGUAGCAGUGAAAUGCGUAGAGAUGCGGAGGAACACCGAUGGCGAAGGCAGCCCCCUGGGCUAGCACUGACGCUCAGGCACGAAAGCGUGGGGAGCAAACAGG